AGGGCCGUGUCCUGCCGUUCGCCGCCGGUGCUGGCGAUGUGCGCUUCGGUACGGCGGUGGCGAAGGUGGUGCGGGCACGGGGCCGCUCCAAGGCUGCCGCGGGAGCAGCGGAGCAGGCAGGGGCUCUCGCCUUGGCCGAGCGGGAUUUCUCCUCGUCGAGCAUCCCCCUGCAGAUGUGUUCCUGCAGCCCGCUUUCGGCUGACUCCCACCCCACCGAGCCUCAUGGCCCCGUACCCCAGCGCUUGGCAGCUGCCUUCGUCGCUGACAUCGCUUUGGGGUGGGCUGGCAGGCCAUGGGCAGCGAACCUCUUGCUACAGCUGCGCAUCUGUCCACAGCUGGUCCUGCGCGGCGACAGGUCGGCCUCCAUCCUUCAUCUUCCGUUGUCCCAGUGAGCUGGGCUGGCACCGGCGGCGUUGCAGGGCUCCGGCUGCUGAGCCGGCUGAGCUCUCCCAGGCAUCGCCUUUGUUUCAUCUCGUCUUUGGGGAAGGUGCUUGGUUAUUCUGAUUCACUAAAGAACGCGUGGAGCGUGGCCGGGCAGCGCGGUCACCUCGUCACCCAGCCCUGCUUCCCUCGGGUGGCCCGCAGUGAGAACUAGAGAGCUCCGUCCAGAAACAGUCUUUAGUCCUGCAUUUGUUACUCCAUGCAACUGCUGGCUGAGCUUCUCCUUCGGGAGUGGCAAUCCCCAGAUUAUGCUGGCUUUUCCUUUCUGGGACACGUUCCAACACUGCCUUUGUGGCUGGUGUCCUUUUUGUCACCGAAUUCUCCAUGCAGGUGAAUGUGCAAUCACAUGUUCAAAUGAUGAUAAGAGCAGCUGAAUAGCCUGAGAUAAAGUUUAUAAAUAUAAGUAAAGCCCAGAAUUCAGGAUUCUUUUUGCAGCCUGUUCUCUCCUUUAUCCUGUUCCUCUAGCCAAGACUGAUUAUGAAGUGCUGAGGUGAGGUAUUUUUAAAAUAAGAGUAAUUUUAUUAAUCUUACCAAACCUUGUAGCUGUGAGAAGGGAGACUGAGAGACAUGACUUGUUCCUGUGCCACCAAAUGAUGAACUGGGGACCUGCAGGGCAUCAGGGGACCCUCUGUAGUGGAUGCACAGAGCUGGACCCCCAACUCCGCAUGGGAUGGGGGUCUUGCAAAGGUGCCCAGAGGUGCGGUAGCUCUUGGCAAAGCCUACUUAACAGUGCUCCACAGGAUGCUGGUUGGAUGGGAGGUGCCUGGGAGGCUCCCAGGGGAUGGGCCAUGUCCAUGCUGGCAGUGGCUCCCAGC